rnacentral:rRNA from 1 species
AAUGGGCGAAAGCCUGAUGCAGCGACGCCGCGUGAGUGAAGAAGGCCUUCGGGUCGUAAAACUCUGUCCUUGGUGAAGAAAAAAAUGACGGUAGCCAAGGAGGAAGCCCCGGCUAACUACGUGCCAACAGCCGCGGUAAUACGUAGGGUGAGAGCGUUGUCCGGAUUUACUGGGCGUAAAGGGUGAGUAGGCGGUUGUAUAUGUCAGANGUAANAGGCACAGGCUGAACUUGUGUAAGCAUUUGAAACUGUACAACUUGAGUGCAGGAGAGGUAAGUGGAAUUCCUAGUGUAGCGGUGAAAUGCGUAGAUAUUAGGAGGAACACCAGUGGCGAAGGCGACUUACUGGACUGUAACUGACGCUGAGUCACGAAAGCGUGGGUAGCAAA